rnacentral:lncRNA from 1 species
AUUAGGUAUAUGUGUAGAUGAAAGAAGUGAUGUUUGUCAGGAAAUGAGAAACAACGCAAUUAUAAAAGGAUUUUUAAAAACCUGUGGUAAUACUUUCCAAAAACAAAGGGGAUCCAUGGUUUAAGAAAAGAUUUACAAAAACUUUUUUUUUUUUUUGCUGCUGCUGCAGGAAUGAGAGUCCACUUGGUAGAUGUUGACAUUUCUGGGAGAUUCUACAGGAUAGAAAAUAAGAAAGGAGAGAAAAUCUGGUUGACCCUCCUGAACCUGUUCCCUUAUGUUUGAAUUUGGAGAAAAAUCACAAGAAUCUCUCCAGGGAGGGAGAUUAGAGAAACUGUUGCGGGGAAUGCACUUCUACUUAGAGGCAGAUAUGGCCAAGCAAACCGAAGAGUUUGGGUCUCUCUCUGAUGGAGGUAUUUAAUUACUGGCAUGCUUCUCAGUCUGUUCUUCCCCUGUCUGAGCAAAUUUAGAAGCCCAAGCCAGCAUGGAGGUAUCAUAUGGACCUCCCAGACUGUGUGAGCAAGAAAUAGACCUUGGUUGGGAUAAGCCAUUCAGGUAAGUUUAAUAUUGUUAGUUAUACUAGCAAAACCAGUUUAUUUUGACUGACAUACUAUUUUGUACUUCUUUGAACCUCCACGGCAUAGCAUGGUACUUGGCACAGAGGAGAUAUCAAGCAUUUGUUGAAUAAGAAAACGCAUGAGUGAAUGAAUAGAAAAUAAUUAACUGUGAAAACAUGUAAGUGCAGACCAUUGCAAAUCAGAAAACAGACUUUGAGGAUUAAAAAUAUAAUAAGUGAAAUAGGUGCCUCCAGACAUUGCAUUACAAAGUCUUCUUAUUUCUUGCAGCAGGAGUAAGUAACUUUGCCAAUAGAACUCAGUUAAAAACAUAAGUCUUUUAUAAGAAACUUUGCUCAUAAAUCUAAGCACUUUGAUUAUCUCACUUAUGAAUGACUUUCUCUAAAAUAUCAGGAAGGUAGGAUUCAUUGAUAUUGGUCUUAGCUACUCAGUGGGAUUUAAAACUCAAUAAUGAAUCCAGGAAGUGGUUUGCAAUUCACUUGAUCAAACAAAGUCUGCCCAAUAAGUGGUAUUAAAUCAGGUGGAGACCAAUUAUCAGGAUCUUUUUUCAGUAGACCUUUGUGACUGCAUGAAUAUAUUCUCACCUGGUUAGAAAUAAUAGCAUGGCAUAUGCUGUUAUGUGCCUUUGCUUCUGCAUUUACAAAAGCCCACAGCCUAACGUCAAUACUGGAGGCAGGGUCUUUCUUUUCUGGUACAUUGAUUUUAAAUUAAAUUAACUUUGAUCUUUAGGUCAUCUCCCAGAUUCUAAAAGCUGAAUGCCUCAUUAAUGGUGAAAACAGUAGGAGUAAAUGUAUUGGAGCAGGUUGAACAAUUUAAAUACUUUGAAAUGCAACUAGUGCAAAGUAAGAGUAUUGCAAGCUAGCUAAUUAACAGUUAUUUCCAGUCAUGCUGAUGAGGAAAAACUGCUUGAGCGGGUGAUUCUUGGAAAAUAGUUGGGACCUUCCAAGCUCCUCUCUUGCCCUCUGUUCUUUGGGUCCUUCUGCUGUGCUCACACAAAUUUCAUUGUCCACUUGAAUCAUGAUGGUCCCGAUCUAUUCCCACAAUAUUCUCCACUUUUCGGAAGGCUGUAUUAGUUAUCUAUUGCUGCAUAACAAAUUACUCCAAAAUUUAGUGGCUUAAACAUUUAUUUUCUCAUAGUCUCUGUGGGUCAGGAAUCGUCUGCUUCAGUGUCUCCCACAGUCUGCUAUAAAGGGGCCAACUGGGGCUGCAGUCACUCUAAGACAUGAAAGGAAAUCUGCUUAGGGAAGAAUCUACUUUCAAACUCAAUCAUGUAGUUGUUGGCGAGAUUCAGCUUCUUGCGGGCUAUUGAAUUGAGAGGUUUCAGUUCUUUGAGGGCUGUUGGGCAGAAACAACCCCAAGUUCCAUAAAACAUAGACAUAUUCAUAGGGCAGCUCAAAACAUGAUGAAUUGCUUCAUCAGAGCAAGCAAGAAAAAGGAGCCAGAAGAGAAAAUGAGAGUGAGAGCGAGAGAGAGAGCUGGAGAGAAAGAGCAAGAGCAAGAUGGAAG